AUAUGCUUACAACAUAGCGUUAAUGCACUGGAUCCCAUUAGAACUUCGCAGUUAAGCGUGCUUAGGAUAGAGUAGUACUGGGAUGGGUGACUGGUCAGGAAGUCCUAGUGGUUUACAUGCC
rnacentral:rRNA from 1 species